GAGAAAUUUGGAUUAAUGCCCCAUAGUAUUAUGAAAUAGCAUUAUUUUAUAAUUAAACAUUUAUGGCUACAAGAUGAGUAUGCGUUCUAUUAGUUAGUAGGUAAGGUAACGGCUUACCUAGACUUCGAUAGAUAGGGGUCCUGAGAGGGAGAUCCCCCACACUGGUACUGAGACACGGACCAGACUCCUACGGGAGGCAGCAGUGAGGAAUAUUGGACAAUGGGCGAGAGCCUGAUCCAGCCAUGCCGCGUGCAGGAAGACGGCCCUAUGGGUUGUAAACUGCUUUUAUAGAGGAAGAAACACUCCCACGUGUGGGAGCUUGACGGUACUCUACGAAUAAGGAUCGGCUAACUCCGUGCCAGCAGCCGCGGUAAUACGGAGGAUCCAAGCGUUAUCCGGAAUCAUUGGGUUUAAAGGGUCCGUAGGCGGGACAAUCAGUCAGCGGUGAAAGUCUGUGGCUCAACCAUAGAAUUGCCAUUGAUACUGUUGUUCUUGAAUACUUAUGAAGUGGUUGGAAUAUGUAGUGUAGCGGUGAAAUGCAUAGAUAUUACAUAGAACACCGAUUGCGAAGGCAGAUCACUAAUAAGUCAUUGACGCUGAUGGACGAAAGCGUAGGUAGCGAACAGGAUUAGAUACCCUGGUAGUCUACGCCGUAAACGAUGGUUACUAGCUGUUCGGUCGCAAGACUGAGUGGCUAAGCGAAAGUGAUAAGUAACCCACCUGGGGAGUACGUUCGCAAGAAUGAAACUCAAA
rnacentral:rRNA from 1 species